rnacentral:lncRNA from 1 species
GUCAUGACCUUGACAAGUCCCCUGAUGCACUUCAGUAUGUUCCUAAUGGUGGACCACUUGGUGAGGGAGAGUUAUUUGAACAAGUACCAGACUUUGACAAUGUCAUAUGGGUGACCAAAAACUUGGAUUAUGAAAAACCAGAGGCUUCUGUAGUGGGUCAUACCUACGAGAUGAUGGUUUCUGUCUUUGAUGACAACAGGCCCUCCCACACAGUCACUGUUACUAUCAUUGUGGAGGUUGUUCCUGCCAAUGAAUUCGGUCCAGUUUUCAGGCCUGCAAGUUACUCAUUCUCUGUUCCAGAAACAUCAGGAGCCUCCUAUGAAGUUGGAAGAGUGACUGCUUUUGAUGAAGACAAUCCACCAAACUGUGUGAGGUACAAAAUAAUCAGAGGAGACGCCCAGCAUCUUUGA